rnacentral:rRNA from 1 species
CUGCUGUUGAGAGAUAUCAGCCACUGAAGUCGGAACCUGUCCAGAUCCUACGGAGCAGCAGUGGGCAUAUGACCAAUUGGGCGCAGCUGAUGCAGCAUGCGCGUAGUGGACGCAUGCCUCCAGACUGUAAGCACUUUCAGUCGUGAGAGUAGGUAGUAGUAUAGCACAUCAUUGGACGUAGCGACAGAAGAAGCAUCUGCUAACUCCGUGCCAGCAGCCGCGGUAAUACGGAGGGGUGCGAGCGGUAAUCGAAUUACUGGGCGUAAAGCGCAUGCAGGUGGUUUGUUAAGUCAGAUGUGAAAGCCCGGGGCUCAACCUCGGAAUAGCAUUUGAAACUGGCAGACUAGAGUACUGUAGAGGGGGGUAGAAUUUCAGGUGUAGCGGUGAAAUGCGUAGAGAUCUGAAGGAAUACCGGUGGCGAAGGCGGCCCCCUGGACAGAUACUGACACUCAGAUGCGAAAGCGUGGGGAGCAAACAGGAUUAGAUACCCUGGUAGUCACGCCGUAAACGAUGUCUACUUGGAGGUUGUGGCCUGAGCCGUGGCUUUCGGAGCUAACGCGUUAAGUAGACCGCCUGGGGAGUACGGUCGCAAGAUUAAAACUCAAAUGAAUUGACGGGGGCCCGCACAAGCGGUGGAGCAUGUGGUUUAAUUCGAUGCAACGCGAAGAACCUUACCUACUCUUGACAUCCAGAGAACUUUCCAGAGAUGGAUUGGUGCCUUCGGGAACUCUGAGACAGGUGCUGCAUGGCUGUCGUCAGCUCGUGUUGUGAAAUGUUGGGUUAAGUCCCGCAACGAGCGCAACCCUUAUCCUUGUUUGCCAGCACUUCGGGUGGGAACUCCAGGGAGACUGCCGGUGAUAAACCGGAGGAAGGUGGGGACGACGUCAAGUCAUCAUGGCCCUUACGAGUAGGGCUACACACGUGCUACAAUGGCGCAUACAGAGGGCGGCCAACUUGCGAGAGUGAGCGAAUCCCAAAAAGUGCGUCGUAGUCCGGAUCGGAGUCUGCAACUCGACUCCGUGAAGUCGGAAUCGCUAGUAAUCGUGGAUCAGAAUGCCACGGUGAAUACGUUCCCGGGCCUUGUACACACCGCCCGUCACACCAUGGGAGUGGGCUGCAAAAGAAGUAGGUAGUUUAACCUUCGGGAGGACGCUACCACU